UGGACCGAGCUUGUGAGUGGUGAACUGUCUUCGGUGGGAUCUCCGGCUCUUGGGAAAGGAGCUAUAUUUAAUUUAGUACUCCAACCAUAACACGUUGAAUAUAACAACCUACCAACUAUUGUUACUCCUGUCCAAAUUAAGGUGGUUUUGCGCCGUGUUUACACAUCAAAUGACGAGCAGAAAAAAAUGAAAACAGAGAUAAUCAAUUUCAUGGGUAUUGAAAUCUCCAUCGGCUCAGGAGAAUCACGCGCUGUAUAUUACCGGCGGGACAAGAAGGAAAGGCGGUUUCGUCUGAUACACAACGUACAAUUGAUCCGAACGUAUAUUAUACACUGCUCACGAACGGGGAAGCAAGUCUUGAGGGCCGUCCCCGCGAGGAGCAACCGGUGCCGGUUUAUUUCCGAUCGAAUGUUUUUGUCCAACCGUCGCAAACCUAAUUGGAUUCGCUACGAAUCACCA